GACGGGUGCAAUGCGCAUGAGUAUAAAGGAAGAGCGAGGCCAGGCUCCCCGUCGCCAUCUUGGGUGAUGGUGGUUGCCAUGGCAACCGCGCGGCCUACACCUCUCAGAGCAGCCUGAGCCCUCCGAUAGGGGGAACGGCCCCGAGCCGACGACCCCCGACACCCUCUGGGACCCCUCCGUGUCCUCCUCGAGACGCAGUCCUCGCUGUGACCCCUCCUCCCCGCUGGGACCCUGUGUGACUGAGGAGAGCCAUGAAGAACCAGCCUUCAGAAACUUUGUGCAGGACAUGCGGAUGAAAUGCCAGAGGAGAAGCAACCCAAAGGAAUGAGACCUUCAGACACAAAAGCCCGAGGCCACUCCUCUGCUCACUCAGUCUGGCCUCGCUGUCCUACACGAUGCCUCUUCUGUCUUCUCCAAUGGCUGCUGCCAAGAAAAGCGGACAUAGUGAGUCCCAAGUGCUGACUCCUCACCACUACACCUGGAGAACCACUAUGCCAGCCCCUCAGUGAUUCCACCUCCAACCCUAUCCCCAUACGCUGGGAUAGCUACUCUGGGGCUGAAGCUGGAAUAUAGUGUCUAGAGCUGGACCUGAAGUAAACAUCCUGCUCUGAUCAAGGAGCAACUUCACUUGGUGGUGGGAAGAUGUGGAGCUGAAAUCACUGCAGGGCUGGGAUUGCAGAGAGGCGUUCCAGAGAUUGGUUUGCAGAACCUGGGCACAGAUCAGCUUCAGCAUCAGCUUCAACAUCAGCGGAGACUGCGCGGGAGA